CCUUAACGAGAAUCUGAUACGGUUCCAGUCAGACCAGAGGGAAAGACGCCAAUACAGCUUCGCAACC
rnacentral:pre_miRNA from 1 species